rnacentral:ncRNA from 2 species
AUUUAGGCGACGCUCCGAGUCGGAGGAGCUAAUGUCCUAUCGGGCCACGCCCUCCGACCGAUAGGGAAAAGCGGGAAACGGCUUUUCCUUCCAUUUCGAAAAGGAGAACGUCAUGAUUGCCU